ACUAAUAUGAAUCUUGGCCUUGGCUUUCUGUAAUUGACCUUACCAGAUGCUCAAAACAUCCUUCACUUUUCCUAUAUUUUCAUUGCCUUUUGGGACUUUAGCCUAGGUAGAUUUUAUCCUACCACUGGGCCAUUUAGGUCUCCUGCAUUGCUACUAUGGCUGAAAUUUUUUUUUUAUAGCAAGACUAGGGACAUUUGGAUAUCUUUACUGAAAAGUUUUGCAUAUGCUGUAGUGGUAUUCAUCUGUAGGUAUCUGAUAUAUAAUUUAUGUAUAUUUUAGUUGAUCAUGAUGAUCACUGGAAGAGUCUAACGAUACAUGUUGAUUAUUAGCCAACUCUGAAGAUAAUGUUCAAUAUACUAUUUUUGUAAAUACCAUCUCAGAUUAAUGUUAGUUUUAUUCCUCAGAUUGAUGAUGAUCUUCAAAUUUAUUAGGAGGGUGAAGUUGGAGCAUGGAAUCUGGUCAUUCAACCCUGAUUGCCUCUUACACCAAAGUGUGAUGUGAGGGUUUAGUGCCCUGAGCAACAUCUUUUAGGGUUGCUGAAGCUUCAAAUCCACACUUCUAAUUUGGUAAGAACCUUUUUCUGAAAGUGGUUAGAAAGUAAGUGCACUUAAAAAUGAUUGACGAGUCCUAAGGUACAACAGCUACCUGUGCCAAUUGGUGUGGACAUGAACGAGGCAUUCAUUGGAUUGAUAUACUGUAAUGCAAGCUAUUAUAGAAAAUGAGGUGGCCCUAAAUUUU